UCAGGACGAACGCUGGCGGCGUGCUUAACACAUGCAAGUCGAGCGGAAAGGCCCUUCGGGGUACUCGAGCGGCGAACGGGUGAGUAACACGUGAGUAACCUGCCCCUGACUCUGGGAUAAGCCUGGGAAACUGGGUCUAAUACCGGAUAUGACACCUUCUCGCAUGGGAUGGGUGUGGAAAGUUUUUUCGGUCAGGGAUGGGCUCGCGGCCUAUCAGCUUGUUGGUGGGGUAGUGGCCUACCAAGGCGACGACGGGUAGCCGGCCUGAGAGGGCGACCGGCCACACUGGGACUGAGACACGGCCCAGACUCCUACGGGAGGCAGCAGUGGGGAAUAUUGCGCAAUGGGCGGAAGCCUGACGCAGCGACGCCGCGUGGGGGAUGACGGCCUUCGGGUUGUAAACCUCUUUCAGCAGGGACGAAGUUGACGUGUACCUGUAGAAGAAGCGCCGGCUAACUACGUGCCAGCAGCCGCGGUAAUACGUAGGGCGCAAGCGUUGUCCGGAAUUAUUGGGCGUAAAGAGCUCGUAGGUGGCUUGUCGCGUCUGCCGUGAAAGCCCAUGGCUUAACUAUGGGUCUGCGGUGGAUACGGGCAGGCUAGAGGCUGGUAGGGGCAAGCGGAAUUCCUGGUGUAGCGGUGAAAUGCGCAGAUAUCAGGAGGAACACCGGUGGCGAAGGCGGCUUGCUGGGCCAGUCUGAC
rnacentral:rRNA from 1 species